rnacentral:lncRNA from 1 species
CUGGGAACGACUGCGCCAGCAGUCCUGGGGCUUCGCUCUAGGGGGCUCCAGGCCGUCGGGCAGGCUGGCUUGGACCCCACAAUCGCGCGGGGAACGGGGCUCCAGGAGCUCCUUCCUUUUGUAUAGAGAAGAAAGGGCCUUUCCCAUCCCUGAGCACGGAGAGCCUGGCUCCCUAGGACUGCGUGCCCUGAAUAGCAAGCUGGCUUCUCAGGGGUUGCAGUCCGGGCCCCACCCUGGGGAGCUCUGGACUGGUGCACUGUCUCUUCUGGCCAGAAAGGGGACAUCAUGGUGUCACAUCAAGUCAUAUAGUCACGUUCUUGGACGGCGUCUCCUCUGUGAAAGCAAGAAAGUAAUCACCUGACCACCUCAGCCCCUGGUACAGCACAGUGCAUGCUGGAGUGAGGGAAUGACAGCUGCCACCACGCAGAGUGUUUAUCCCAAUGUCUCUUUCUGAGACAUAAGCAAGAAGUCUGAUGUGAAUGGUUUCUCACAUGCUUCUGGCAAAGGAUUGAGGACUCUGUUCCAAGUCAAGUGCUACCCUCGGGUUCUGGGAAUCCUGAGACAAAAUUGGGAAGAGGUGGAUUUGAGACUAUCUACCGGCCUCCAGCUUUCAUGUAGAUGUUUCUUUUUUUUUAAAAAAAAACAUAAAAAAAAAACCUUUUGAAUUAUGUAUAUGUGUGUGUCUGGGUGUGGGUAUGUGCAUGUGAGUGCAGUAACUACCAAGGCCA